UGACCACCUGAGGUGAGCACUGAGUCAGCUGCAGGGGCACAGGUGAAUGCAAUUUCACCUGAGUAACUGGAAGAGGUGGAGCCUGGCUCCACCCCUCCUAGACCCCAUUUAAGGGCUGACUCCCAACGAGGAAGGAUUUCUAGCUGGAGAUCACUCCUCUCGGAGCUCCUCUGUGAGUCCAGGACAUAGAUCUGUGCAAGCUUUGGGUAGCAAUGUCAUGGUAGUGAAAGAACAUAUGGACUUAUCAACAGGCAGGACUUACUGCCAUCUGCAGAGCCUAAGUUGACUUCAGACAGACCACAGAGGACACCUGAAGAAUGGGGGAUAGGGCAUAGUGGAUAUACCCCAUCUUGCUACAGGACCAUUACAUGAGGUAACCAGAGGUAAAAGGUAAAGGUGUUUACACUAGACAGUAGGGAUUAAUCUGAGCAUCAGCGUAGUAAGAGCUGUGCAGAAUAUCUCAUCAGGCCAAGCUAGCUUCUCCCCAUCUCACUUUUGAGCACUGCACAGACUUCUUGACAUGCUGUACAUUCUGACAUGGUAUGACUCAACAGUAAGGAACCAGAGGGGAUAGACCAUACCCUCUCAGUCCACCUGGAGGGUUUGAUUUGGAAAUGUCUUGGGCUGAUGCAAGUGAACAAAUCAGGAAAUAAUUUUUGCUCCUGUAUCUUCAGUUAGUGAGCAGGUGUAGCUUGUGAGCUCUCAGGGCCAGAUCAGAUAGCAUUCAGGAAAAGCAGCAUUACCUUUAGAGUGAGGGUGGAACCAUGCAUGUGAUUCAGUUCUGAAGUGUGGUCUGAACUACUUAAAGUAAACUCCAAAUUGAAUGAACAUAGCUUCACAUAAAAAAACAAAGAUGCAUAAUUGCUUAUAACACAACAGUCUUGAAAAAUAAAGCUCUUUCAGAUUUAGAUUCUUAUAUCCUAUUAGGAAAAGAAAUUGUGUGAUUCCUAAUGACUUGAUCUGGGAGCAUUUAAAGGUACAAGAAGAGUAAUUUCAGAGAAUUUCAAUUGGAAUCACUGAUUCUGGAAGGGCACCUUUGGAGAUUUUUCUAGUCCACUGCUUGCUCAGGUAGGAUAAGCUGCAGCAAAUUGCUCACAGAUGUGUCCAGUUGGACUUGAGCAUCUCCAAAAAUUCCAUCACCUCUCUGGGCAAUCUGUUCCAGUGUUUGUCUACUCUUGGAGUAAAACUGUGUUGUUGUUGUUGUUUUUCCUGUUUAUGUAGACUUUCACAGGUUCAUUUUGUGUUCAUCACUUCUUAUCCUGUUACUGGGCAGAAUCUGGCUCCUUCUUCAUUCCUUCCUAUCAAGUAUUUAUAUCCAUCAACAAGACCCUCCUAAGCCUCUUCUUUUCCAAGCUGAACAGUCUCAGUUCUUUCAGCUUUUAUUCAUGUUAGAUUAUCCACUUCCUUUGUUAUUUUUGUGCCCCUGCACUGCACCUGCUGCAGUAGCUCCCUGUGUCAUAUCAGUAAGCCUGGAGCUCCAGAUGGUUCACACCAGAACUGAGUACAGGAGAAGGAAUUCCUCUGCUGAC
ensembl:lncRNA